GAGUUUUGAAUCAUGGCUCAGGAUGAACGCUGGCGGCGUGCCUAAUACAUGCAAGUCGAACGCACUUUCGUUGAAUGAAUUAGAGGUGCUUGCACCGAAGAUGAUUUUAGCUAUAAAGUGAGUGGCGAACGGGUGAGUAACACGUGGGUAACCUGCCCAGAAGUGGGGGAUAACACCUGGAAACAGAUGCUAAUACCGCAUAACAAAGUAAACCGCAUGGUUUACUUUUAAAAGAUGGCUUCGGCUAUCACUUCUGGAUGGACCCGCGGCGUAUUAGCUAGUUGGUGAGAUAAAGGCUCACCAAGGCAGUGAUACGUAGCCGACCUGAGAGGGUAAUCGGCCACAUUGGGACUGAGACACGGCCCAGACUCCUACGGGAGGCAGCAGUAGGGAAUCUUCCACAAUGGACGAAAGUCUGAUGGAGCAACGCCGCGUGAGUGAUGAAGGCUUUAGGGUCGUAAAACUCUGUUGUUGGAGAAGAACGUGUGUGAGAGUAACUGCUCAUGCAGUGACGGUAUCCAACCAGAAAGCCACGGCUAACUACGUGCCAGCAGCCGCGGUAAUACGUAGGUGGCAAGCGUUAUCCGGAUUUAUUGGGCGUAAAGCGAGCGCAGGCGGUCUUUUAAGUCUAAUGUGAAAGCCUUCGGCUUAACCGAAGAAGUGCAUUGGAAACUGGAAGACUUGAGUGCAGAAGAGGACAGUGGAACUCCAUGUGUAGCGGUGAAAUGCGUAGAUAUAUGGAAGAACACCAGUGGCGAAGGCGGCUGUCUGGUCUGUAACUGACGCUGAGGCUCGAAAG
rnacentral:rRNA from 1 species